rnacentral:tRNA from 5 species
CGGUGAUUAGCGCAGCUUGGUAGCGCACUUGGUUUGGGUCCAAGGGGUCGUAGGUUCAAAUCCUACAUCACCGACCA